UCCUGUGCUGAGGGAGUGGGUGCGCAACCGUCUCACUUCCUGUUCUGCUCUCCCUCUCAUGGGCCUUGUCUCUCUUCCAGGAUGCACUCCAGGGUGGGCCAGGAGAAAAGAGAAAAGACAGCUUGGUGAUGACUAAGAAGCAAGAAACUGGAGCCUAAGCUAGUACUGAGAGGAAAGCUACCUCUGCAGCGCUCCACUUUGCCCCAGCUUCAGGAUAUGUUGUCUUGGGAUACAGGACAAUGCAGAUGACUUUCGAAGCCCAGAUACAAUGGUUCGUGCCUUUAACCCUAGUACUUGGGAGAUGGAGACAGGAUGCAGAUGACUUUCGAAGCCCAGAUACAAUGGUUU
rnacentral:lncRNA from 1 species